rnacentral:rRNA from 2 species
UUAGAGUUUGAUCCUGGCUCAGUGAUGAACGCUGGCGGCGUGCUUAACACAUGCAAGUCGCACGGAGAUUACAGAAAGCUUGCUUUCUGUGGUUUUAGUGGCGGACGGGUGAGUAACGUGUGGGCAAUCUGCCCUCUACAGUGGAAUAAUCACGGGAAACUGUGACUAAUACCGCAUGUCAUCACGAAUGGGCAUCCAUUUGUGAGAAAAGGAGCAAUCCGGUAGAGGAGGAGCCCGCAUCUGAUUAGCUAGUUGGUGAGAUAACAGCCCACCAAGGCGACGAUCAGUAGCCGACCUGAGAGGGUGACCUGGCCACAUUGGGACUGAGACACGGCCCAAACUCCUACGGGAGGCAGCAGUGGGGAAUAUUGCACAAUGGGCGCAAGCCUGAUGCAGCAACGCCGCGUGAACGGAAGAAGGGUUUCGGCUCGUAAACUUCUAUCAACAGGGAAGAAUGAAAUGACGGUACCUGAAUAAGAAGCACCGGCUAACUACGUGCCAGCAGCCGCGGUAAUACGUAGGGUGCAAGCGUUAUCCGGAAUUACUUGGGUGUAAAGGGUGAGUAAGCGGCAUGAUAAGUAAGAUGUGAAAGCCCGCGGCUUAACCGCGGGGUUUGCAUUUA